UACGAAGGGGGCUAGCGUUGUUCGGAAUUACUGGGCGUAAAGCGCGCGCAGGCGGUCUUCCAAGUCAGUGGUGAAAGCCCGGAGCUCAACUCCGGAACUGCCAUUGAAACUGUAAGACUUGAGGAUGAGAGAGGUGAGUGGAAUUCCCAGUGUAGAGGUGAAAUUCGUAGAUAUUGGGAAGAACACCGGUGGCGAAGGCGGCUCACUGGCUCAUUUCUGACGCUCAGGCGCGACAACGUGGGGAUCAAACAGG
rnacentral:rRNA from 1 species